rnacentral:rRNA from 1 species
GAUGAACGCUAGCUACAGGCUUAACACAUGCAAGUCGAGGGGAAACGGCAUUUAGUGCUUGCACUGAAUGGACGUCGACCGGCGCACGGGUGAGUAACGCGUAUCCAACCUACCCAUUACUGUGGGAUAACCUGCCGAAAGGCAGACUAAUACCGCAUAGUCUUCGAUGACGGCAUCAGAUUUGAAGUAAAGAUUUAUCGGUAAUGGAUGGGGAUGCGUCUGAUUAGCUUGUUGGCGGGGUAACGGCCCACCAAGGCGACGAUCAGUAGGGGUUCUGAGAGGAAGGUCCCCCACAUUGGAACUGAGACACGGUCCAAACUCCUACGGGAGGCAGCAGUGAGGAAUAUUGGUCAAUGGGCGCGAGCCUGAACCAGCCAAGUAGCGUGCAGGAUGACGGCCCUAUGGGUUGUAAACUGCUUUUGUAUGGGGAUAAAGUCAAUCACGUGUGAUUGUUUGCAGGUACCAUACGAAUAAGGACCGGCUAAUUCCGUGCCAGCAGCCGCGGCAAUACGGAAGGUCCGGGCGUUAUCCGGAUUUAUUGGGUUUAAAGGGAGCGUAGGCCGGAGAUUAAGUGUGUUGUGAAAUGUAGACGCUCAACGUCUGACUUGCAGCGCAUACUGGUUUCCUUGAGUACGCACAACGUUGGCGGAAUUCGUCGUGUAGCGGUGAAAUGCUUAGAUAUGACGAAGAACUCCGAUUGCGAAGGCAGCUGACGGGAGCGCAACUGACGCUUAAGCUCGAAGGUGCGGGUAUCGAACAGG